GUCAGCCGCCGCGGGAACACCGGCGGCCCGAGUGGUGAUCGUGAUUAUUGGGUCUAAAGGGUCCGUAGCCGGUUUGGUCAGUCCUCCGGGAAAUCUGAUAGCUCAACUAUUAGGCUUUCGGGGGAUACUGCCAGACUUGGAACCGGGAGAGGUAAGAGGUACUACAGGGGUAGGAGUGAAAUCUUGUAAUCCCUGUGGGACCACCUGUGGCGAAGGCGUCUUACCAGAACGGGUUCGACGGUGAGGGACGAAAGCUGGGGGCACGAACCGGAUUAGAUACCCGGGUAGUCCCAGCCGUAAACGAUGCUCGCUAGGUGUCAGGCAUGGCGCGACCGUGUCUGGUGCCGCAGGGAAGCCGUGAAGCGAGCCACCUGGGAAGUACGGCCGCAAGGCUGAAACUUAAAGGAAUUGGCGGGGGAGCACAACAACGGGUGGAGCCCUGCGGUUUAAUUGGACUCAACGCCGGACAACUCACCGGGGGCGACAGCAAUAUGUAGGCCAAGCUGAAGACUUUGCCUGAAUCGCUGAGAAGUGGUGCAUGG
rnacentral:rRNA from 1 species